GGGAAAAUGUUACACGACCAUUCCAGGAGAUAAAAUCAAGAAUGUUGAAUCAUUGAGGAACACACCAAAUAAACCCUGGGCUGUGAAUUAUGUUAACGGAAGUGGAAGUGAACACCAAAGAAAGAAGAUUCUGGCAUUCAAUAAUUUCGAAAAGUGUAUACAUUUUCUAUAAUCUAAAAAUAAUAAAAUGUCAACGCAAA